ensembl:lncRNA
AUGGACUGUAGCCCGCNNNNNNNNNNNNNNNNNNNNNNUCUCCAGGCAAGAAUACUGGAGUGGGUUGCCACACUCUCCUCCAGGGGAUUUUCCCAACUCAGGCAGGCAGAUUCUUUACCGUCUGAGCCAACAAGAACUUCACUAAAUCAUAACCAGGACAAAAAAGAUGACUUGCUUUCUCCAAACCUGGAUUCAUCACCUCAGGGAAGAAGUGAGGUGAAAAGAAGCCCUGAAAUAUAUUUUCCUAACUGGUCAGGAACUAAUCUGGCCAGUGUCUGCCCCUCCCCUACCACAUGCCUUGCGCAGUUGUGGGUUGGGUGGGCGUGUUUCUUCUGGUGUAAUCUGCACUUGUGCAAGGCACUGAACAGUGUUUUCCUGGAGCACCUGCUCGCCCUCUGGCAGGUCACUUGCCAGGUAGGCAGGUCUUCCCAUUUCUUCUCCUUCUUGGCUAAUGGUUCCUGUCAUUCAGGGAGGAGUCCUUGGCUUCUUACCUGGUCAAGGGAUGACCUCCCUGACUUCUAGGUGCUGGUGCUUCUCAUUUCUUCUCCAGCUCAUAACCCCCAACCCUCCAGACCCUGGGCACCUGUCAGCUCUGACUGGUACCAUCUCCUCUCGAGUGUUUACUCCUGGCCUCGUUUCCACUGGCCUGCCUGGCCCCACCUCGUGUCCUUGUCUCACCUGUCACACCUGACCGCACCAAUUCAGGCCGCACUCUGGAUCUCAACCUCUGUUUCAUCUCAAAGGUUGGCUUGUUGAGUCCAGCAUGAACGAGGGCCAUUUUCCUCUCCAACCAGCUUCCAUACUGACUGCCCAACCCUCCUGAACUCAGACCAUUGUCCUAUAUCAUCCUGGAACCAACAGUGUGUCUAUACAAGGCAAGGAAGAGCAACAGGUAAAAUAUUUGGGAAAAUAACACUGGUACAGUCUCUGCAAGACUUUUCCCAGCAAGGAGGGAAAAGGAUGCCAAAUGAGAGCAGACAUUCUUGGAAGGGAUUCACCAUCAUUUAUCAAUGUCCUAUUCUAUUUGAUUAAGCUCUACACGACAGCCAAGGGAUAAAACACAUUAGAGCAUAAACGAUAGAUAUGAAGACAAGCAGAAUCAUUUAAAAGUUAAUCUCAACAAUAAUAAAAAUGCAAAUUUCUUGGACACCUACUUUGUGCCAGAUGCCUGUGCAUUUACGCAUCACUUCACUUACCCCUCACACAAAUAGUGUGAACUGAGGGCGGAGAGGCUGGGUUCUUUGAUCAAGUUAUAAAGUGGCGGAGUGGGAAUUCGAGCCCAGAUUUAUCUAAUCCGAAUGUGGGCUAGUUGCUGAGUGACUGAAACCAGCAAGAGGCCCACAGAACAGGGGGACUUUCCUGGCUCAGUCUCACUCUGAUCGGCUCUGUGCUCUAAGUAUCCAGAGACUGUCUACAGAGGAGACAACUGGGACGCUUGUUAAGGAAAGGAAAGAUAGUGCUAAGUCAAGUCCGACUCUUGUGAUCCCAUGAACUAUAGCCUGCCAGGCUCCUCUGUCCAUGGNNNNNNNNNNNNNNNNNNNNNNNNNNNNNNNNNNNNNNNNNNNNNNNNNNNNNNNNNNNNNNNNNNNNNNNNNNNNNNNNNNNNNNNNNNNNNNNNNNNGUGAUCCCAUGAACUAUAGCCUGCCAGGCUCCUCUGUCCAUGGGAUUCUCUAAAAGCACAUCAAAUGGAGCUUCCCUGGGAGCACAGUGGAUAAGAAUCUGCCUGCCAACGCAAAAGACACGGGUUUGAUCCCUGGUCCAGGAGGGUCCCACAUGCUACUAAGCCUGCGUGUCACAACUACGGAGCCUGUGCUCUAGAAUCUGUGCUCCACAGCAAGAGAAGCCACUGCAGUGAGAAGCUAGUGCACCCCACUAGAGAAAGACCACAUGCAGCAACAGACCCAGCGCAGCCAAAAAUAACAUAAAUGAUUUUUUUAAGUUAAAAAAAGAGCACUCUAAUGAAUGAGAAUGUCUGGUGUUGGGGGUCCAUGGAUCCAAGUUGAGAAUUUCUGGAAAUGGCCAGUGAUGGAAAUUUCAAACUGCUAUUUCUCCAGACCCCAGUGGAAAUGUAGACAGCUGUCCUCCUGAUUCAGAGUGGCCAAACCAUCCAGGUGAUGCUCAGGACGCGAUGGCACAGGGCCCCCCAACUUUCAGGGUCCCUCUGCUGCCGACUAUUGCCUGCCCACCCACUCCGGCUUCCAUGAUUGAAAAAGGGCAAAUGUUUCCCAUCCCUUGGGAUUCCGUCCUGGAGGCUUCAUUUCUGCUGACUUCUCUGACUGUGCCACCUCUCCCCCUGCCUUCUCAGUGGGGUUUUAUAUGAUAUAUGCUUUCUCCUUUGUGAGGGGCACCCCAGUCGGCCCCCACUGGCCAUUCAUGUAGACUGAGAGGAGCUAGCUGCAAAGGACUUGUACAUAAUUGCAGACUGAGAGCCGAGGAGNNNNNNNNNNNNNNNNNNNNNNNNNNNNNNGGGGGGGGGGGAGGGCUUUCCAAGAUACUGAAAAGACACAGACUAGACGCCCUCUCUGCCUUGAUCCUCUCUCAUGUCAGCCUGCAGAGGGUCAGCUCCUCAGCUCCCAGGGUGAAGUCUGUCCAUAUCCCUGCCAUCUGCAGCGGGAGGUGGCGGCACACGCGUGCACACGUGCACACACAUGCAUGCACACACACGUGCAUGUGUGCACACACACUUUGGGGAUCCUGCUUCUGUGCUGUGCUGAUGCCUUGGGGUCCUUCAGCUGCUUCUGCUGCCCUUCCACAUGGUUCUCAACUCCACUGCAAUCCACAGCCUCCACUGGACAUUACCCAGGGAGGAAGAAGUCUCAGCACUUGUUAUAAACCGUUGUUAGCUAUGUUUUUGGUACAUUGUGAGUGCUAUUCCUUUCCUUUGUGUAACAUGUUUUCUGCUAUCUCCCCAGUCACUUUCAGCACUAUUGAAAUUCCUCCUUUGUGAAACUAAAUAGCCAGAAUUAAAUUACUUGAGGUGCUCCUGUUACAAGCAUUGAUCUGGGACUGUAGAAGAUGUUUUGCCCACGGGUCCCUGGUUUCACCAUAGUCAUUGUCAGUUUGCACCAGAACAGUGACGCCCUGACUCAAAACCAGCUGGGAGCUUGAACACCACAUCACAUUUCAUGCAUUUUACUGAAGCCUAAUGUGGACCCGCUAAACAUCCAUUGGCAAUACAACAGGAAGAUGUCUACUGGGUCAGAGUCCUCAAGGGACUGAGCCAGGAGGCAUGACUAUUCCCUGGGUGAAUUCAGCUUGUUCAAAAGGCUGUUUGAACACUGCCAACACUUGAAUAUUUUGGAAUUGCUUUCCCAACUGAGUGAAAAAGAAGAACCCAAUUCUGUAACUAUACACAAAUACCUCUCCUGGGGUUUACCAUAAGAUCUUUGGUUUCAGUGGUAAAGGACCCACCUGCCAAUGCAGGAGACAUGGGUUUGAUCCCUAAUCCAGGAAGACCCCACAUGCCGUGGGGCAACUAAGCCAGUGUGCCCAACCACUGAGCCCGAGAGCUGCAACUGCUGAAGCCCAUGCACCCUGGGGCUCAUGCUUCACAGCGAGAGAAGCCACUGCGGUGAGCAGCCCACUCCCUGCAACUGGAGAAAGCCUGUGGCAGCAACAAAGACCCAGCACAACCAAAAAUACAUAAAUAAAAUUAUUUUUUAAAAAGACUUUCAGUUUGAACUCAACGUCAGAUUCUAGACUCGAUAGGUAAGUUUUUCUUGCUAACCCACGUGACGCUGGGAUGUCCCCAGUUGGCUAACACUGUGUGCUCCUAGCGCAGGGGCCCAGUGUCAAUCCCUGAUUAGGGGUCCAGAACUUGCACGCUGCAACUAAGACCUGACCGCCACACAAACAAAGACAAAUGAAUAAACCACUCCACAUCGUCAAACGAAUCCAUAUGCCAGAAGAGAAAAGACUCAAAUCAACCUCGGUCUGAAGACAACAUUCGAAACAACUUGUAAAGAAAGUACGAGUGGUGAGCUACCUUUGGGUGUGUGGGUGAAAUGGGGUGGAUAGGGACAGAAUGAAGUGAAGAUUUUCAGUUUUCCACUUUAUGCUCUUUUAUAGUUUUACAUUUUUCUGAACUACCUAGUACACCUGUUUCAAGUAAAUAAAACUGGAAAAUUCUGUUCCACCAGGUAUAUUUGACUCUGGCCAUCUACACAGAUGUGGUAAUAGUGGCAAAGAAUCCACCUGUCAAUGCAAGAGACAUAAGAGACACGGGUUCAAUCCGGUUAGGAAGCUCCCUGGGAGGAGGAACUGGCAACCCAUUCCAGUGUUCUUUCCUGGAGAAUCCCAUGGACAGAGGAGCUUGGCAGGUUGCAGCCCAUAGGGUCGCAAAGAGUCAGACAC